rfam:Streptomyces rubellomurinus strain ATCC 31215 contig-39, whole genome shotgun sequence.
CUAGCUCAGUUGGUUAGAGCAGCUGACUCUUAAUCAGCGGGUCCGGGGUUCGAGUCCCUGGCGGCGCA